UUCAGAAAAAUAAAUCACAAAAAUCAAAUGUCCGAAAGAAAAAGACUAUCAUCAUAAUUUGUGCGUUAUCUUCUAGUGUUCUAAUCAUAUGUUUGGCUUUCAUCGUCUUUAGAUGGAAGAUACGAAGGAAAGGUGUAAUAAGUGACCAACAAGAGGAAGAUCCACAAUUGCCUUUGUUUGAUAUGUCCACAAUUUUUUCUGCAACAAAUAAGUUUUCAACCAAUAGCAUUUUGGGAAAAGGUGGCUUUGGUUCGGUAUAUAAGAGCAAGUGGAUAGUAGCUGUUUCUGUUGGUGGUUUCAUUCUUUGGAGCCACGAUAUCGAAAAAGCCUUGUGGAUUUUUGCUUUAUUUUAAAUAUUGUGUUAUUAGUGGAUUGCAAUUUAAAUAAAUAUAAGUCCGAAUUUAGUUAUUUAUUUUGUCUUGAGUCUUUA